AUUGAACGCUGGCGGCAGGCCUAACACAUGCAAGUCGAGCGAGCGGCGGACGGGUGAGUAAUGUAUGGGGAACUGCCCGAUAGAGGGGGAUAACUACUGGAAACGGUAGCUAAUACCGCAUACCAUCGAAUGUACCCAUAUGGGAUUAGCUAGUAGGUGGGGUAAAGGCUCACCUAGGCGACGAACUCUAGCUGGUCUGCGAGGAUGAUCAGCCACACUGGGACUGAGACACGGCCCAGACUCCGACGGGAGGCAGCGGUGGGGAAUAUUGCACAAUGGGCGCAAGCCUGAUGCAGCCAUGCCGCGUGUAUGAAGAAGGCCUUAGGGUUGUAAAGUACUUUCAGCGAGGAGGCUUUACCCGCAGAAGAAGCACCGGCUAACUCCGUGCCAGCAGCCGCGGUAAUUC
rnacentral:rRNA from 1 species